GGGGGCCGCUCGGGGCCCGGCGCGCCACCCCCGCCGCCCGCCCGGGGAAGGGAAGGGGAGGGGAGGGGCACCGCGGCUGCGGACGCUGGGUGUGUAGCGGAAAGAGCGCUUGGGAAUCUGCGACCGAUCGUCCAGAGAGGGCAGACUACCGGAGCGAGGUUACACAGCGCUGGCCGCGGUGGCGCGCGAACUUGGAAACCUGGGUUAUUGAGUGGGUCGGCAGGAAGGUGUUUUGGCUGCGUUCACUGUGGGAUCACGGACCAUAGUCCGUGCUUCUCCCUGAGCUCGUUUUUCUACCCGCACAAUCGGGACCACAUAAGCAUCUACCUCCUUAAGAAACCGAAGAGAUAAAGAAUAGAGGGCUAAGAUAGGCAGAGGAAAGUU
rnacentral:lncRNA from 1 species